GAUGCCAAUUACCAAAGCAAAUUGCAAAAGCUUUCCGUUGUCGAUGGUGGCAGGAGUUACCGCCGCAAGUAAAUAUUGAAAGAAUUUCGUUUCGAAUUGUUUUUGAAGUCGCUUAGUUGAAACAUUAAUUUAUUGGACGUUUGCUGAGCGUUUUAUUUGGGGUCCGGUUAAUUUAAAUAUCGGAAAUCGGAAAUAAUCGGUGUUCGACGAGCGCCGCCGUUCUCAAGUUAAGAUCCACUGAACAAGGAUCAGGAAAAUAGUUCUUGGCGACGAAAAAGAAAACGAUCCUAAAAGAAUGGAUUCCUCAUUUCCUCAUGAUACCUCGAAAAAUACCGAACCCGCGGAAAAUAUGACCUGGAUGGAAGACGCUACUAAAAACUGCAGGCUACGACUCCUACCGAUAAAGCGGAUGAAGAAAAACCGGAUCGGAUUUUUUCUACGUUGAUGUCUAUCGGAGCGAAAAGAUCAAAGCGGUGUAACAAAGUCAAUCGGGCCUCACAAUGGAACCAUAAAUCAAUUGCUGGAGAGAACGUUCGACGGGCACCGGAUAAUAUGCAAGAACGAUUCGCCAAUCACGCU